rnacentral:rRNA from 1 species
UACGAAGGGUGCUAGCGUUGUUCGGAAUCACUGGGCGUAAAGCGCGCGUAGGCGGCUUUUCAAGUCAGGGGUGAAAUCCCACAGCUUAACUGUGGAGCUGCCUUUGAAACUGUAAAGCUAGAGUGUCGGAGGGGAUAGCGGAAUUGCUAAUGUAGAGGUGAAAUUCGUAGAUAUUAGCAGGAACACCGGUGGCGAAGGCGGCUAUCUGGACGACAACUGACGCUGAGGCGCGAAAGCGCGGGGAUCAAACAGG